rnacentral:lncRNA from 1 species
GAGAAAUGGACACUGACAGAUAAAUGCGGAGUGAAGAGAAAGCCCCUAAUGGUUCCAAGGGCUGCCUCUCUGGCCGUACUUGCCUCUAUUCUGUCAUUGUCUUUCCUACCUCAUCUGGUCUCUGGCAGGGACUGAGAAAUCUGGUCUUGCUUAUGAAGGGGUGGGUCUACAGGGCCAAAGCCAAUUGGGCCCGAGAGUCCCUGACUCAGAGCUAGAUUGGGGGAAGAACAUGCUGCAGAGGUCACCCCUGAGGCCUUAGGAGAGGGCUUAUGGGUGUGGCUGGGACCUAGGGACCCUUAGUUUUCAUUAUUCCUUAAGGAGAGGGGCCCAAGAAAACAUGGUCAUGCGUUUUGGUCAGUCUUUGGAGAAGGGAAAGGCUGAGGGGAGAGAAAGGACGGGGGGAAAGCAAGAACGGGUUGAGGCUGGAUGAGAGGGAGCAGCGGCUGGGAGGAGAUCUGAGAGAACAAGCUGAGCACUCUUCAAGGACCACACACUCUGUGCCAGCCACUGGGGCUAGCUCUAGGUUGGAAUAACGAUACCCUGACCUUCCAAAGAGAAUCCAGUGGAGAUGGGAGGGCAGCCCACCUUGUCACAGCAGGAACAUGCCCCGCUUCCAUGAUCUGGUGUAGGCACCUAUUUCCCCGCAAGCACUUGUCUUGUUCUUCCAAAGACUGGUGAGGAUCCCUGGUUCCACUGGCUGAGAUGGGGGGAGUUCAUCAGCAGAGGUACUGAGAGGGAAACUGGGAAGUGGAAGGGAAGGGACCGAGCUGGCUCCAAGGGCGGGUCUCCAAGCUGAAGACAAAGGCUGCAUUGUCUGUCUGACCCCAAACGGUGUCCAGCCUGGCAGGUGAAGAGCAACACGGCUACAUCCUCUCCAUCUCUUCGUCGCCCCCCACCCUCUCUCGAACCUCAUGGAAUGGGGAUCUAGGGGGAAGAUAAAAAGCCACACACUGGUCUAGGCCACAUAAUAAAUCUGAAUAUUAGUGUGGGGUUCCAGUGGAGAGAAGGACAACUCCUAAAAACAACAAUCAUCAAAAGGAAUGGAGAAAAUGGCAGAGCAAAGGCUACCAAUUUAAUAGCCUCUAUCAAUCCAUUCCUUGUUCACCUGCUAAGAUCACCUCUUCCAGUUUGCUGGUGCUCACAAGGGAUCAAGGAAGCUGGUGCUGUCACAGACCAAG